ensembl:lncRNA
UGAAGGAAUCCCAUUUCAUGGAAUGAGAGGCCAAUCUUUAAUUGCUUUCCAGGGAAUUUCUGAUGAUCUCAGGUGAGCGCAGAAAACAGCCUGACUAAUGGAAACAUGGUCUCAAGAGAUCCUUCAGGAUCAUACUUAAUCCUGGUUUGGACUGUGGACAUAGCAUCGCCUGCAGCAGAUGUUUGCUCCUGGCAUGGCUGCAAACUGCAUGAGCUCCAUCACCGACAAUCCAGUUCUCGGGAUGCAUCGCCAGCAGCUUGGACACGGAGAAGCUGUGACACAAACUCAGCAGGACAGUGGAGUGUAUUCUGCUGCUCGGAUAUUAUGGAACAGACCGGUCAACCUCGUCUGGAGAGGCACUCGAUAGGAAAAUCAGCUCUAUGA